UCGGAUUCUUCUGGCUUUCGCGCCUCGCCCCUCGCUCCGCUUCUCCGCAACCAUGUCUGACAAGCCCGAUACGGCUGAGAUCGAGAAAUUCGAUAAGUCGAAAUUGAAGAAGACAGAAACGCAAGAGAAAAAUCCACUGCCUUCCAAAGAAACGAUUGAACAGGAGAAGCAAGCAGGCGAGUCGGCUGCAACCUUCCUGAAGAUAAUUGCCUCAGAAAAGUUCUGGUAA